CAGGAUUAGAUACCCUGGUAGUCCCCGCUGUAAACGAUGUCGAUUUGAAGGUUGUUCCCUUGAGGAGUGGCUUUCGGAGCUAACGCGUUAAAUCGACCGCCUGGGGAGUACGGCCGCAAGGUUAAAACUCAAAUGAAUUGACGGGGGCCCGCACAAGCGGUGGAGCAUGUGGUUUAAUUCGAUGCAACGCGAAGAACCUUACCUACUCUUGACAUCCAGAGAACUUAGCAGAGAUGCUUUGGUGCCUUCGGGAACUCUGAGACAGGUGCUGCAUGGCUGUCGUCAGCUCGUGUUGUGAAAUGUUGGGUUAAGUCCCGCAACGAGCGCAACCCUUAUCCUUUGUUGCCAGCGAUUCGGUCGGGAACUCAAAGGAGACUGCCGGUGAUAAACCGGAGGAAGGUGGGGAUGACGUCAAGUCAUCAUGGCCCUUACGAGUAGGGCUACACACGUGCUACAAUGGCGUAUACAAAGAGAAGCGACCUCGCGAGAGCAAGCGGAACUCAUAAAGUACGUCGUAGUCCGGAUUGGAGUCUGCAACUCGACUCCAUGAAGUCGGAAUCGCUAGUAAUCGUAGAUCAGAAUGCUACGGUGAAUACGUUCCCGGGCCUUGUACACACCGCCCGUCACCACCUAUGGGAGUGGGUUGCAAAAGAAGUAGGUAGCUUAACCUUCGGGAGGGCGCU
rnacentral:rRNA from 1 species